AGGUAAGCUACUAAGAGCGAAUGGUGGAUGCCUUGACUGGUAAAGGCGAUGAAGGACGUACUAGACUGCGAUAAGCUACGGGGAGCUGUCAAGAAGCUUUGAUCCGUAGAUUUCCGAAUGGGGCAACCCAAUGUAUAGAGAUAUACAUUACCUAUAUAGGAGCGAACGAGGGGAAUUGAAACAUCUUAGUACCCUCAGGAAAAGAAAUCAAUAGAGAUUGCGUCAGUAGCGGCGAGCGAAAGCGCAAGAGGGCAAACCCAGUGCUUGCACUGGGGGUUGUAGGACUGCAAUGUGCAAGAGCUGAGUUUAGCAGAACAUUCUGGAAAGUAUAGCCAUAGAGGGUGAUAGUCCCGUAUGCGAAAAACAAAGCUUAGCUAGCAGUAUCCUGAGUAGGGCGGGACACGAGGAAUCCUGUCUGAAUCCGGGUCGACCACGAUCCAACCCUAAAUACUAAUACCAGAUCGAUAGUGCACAAGUACCGUGAGGGAAAGGUGAAAAGAACUGAGGUGAUCAGAGUGAAAUAGAACCUGAAACCAUUUGCUUACAAUCAUUCAGAGCACUAUGUAGCAAUACAGUGUGAUGGACUGCCUUUUGCAUAAUGAGCCUGCGAGUUGUGGUGUCUGGCAAGGUUAAGCAAACGCGAAGCCGUAGCGAAAGCGAGUCUGAAUAGGGCGCUUAGUCAGAUGCUGCAGACCCGAAACGAAGUGAUCUAUCCAUGAGCAAGUUGAAGCUAGUGUAAGAACUAGUGGAGGACUGAACCCAUAGGCGUUGAAAAGCCCCGGGAUGACUUGUGGAUAGGGGUGAAAGGCCAAUCAAACUUCGUGAUAGCUGGUUCUCUCCGAAAUAUAUUUAGGUAUAGCGUUGUGUCGUAAUAUAAGGGGGUAGAGCACUGAAUGGGCUAGGGCAUACACCAAUGUACCAAACCCUAUCAAACUCCGAAUACCUUAUAUGUAAUCACAGCAGUCAGGCGGCGAGUGAUAAAAUCCGUCGUCAAGAGGGAAACAACCCAGACUACCAGCUAAGGUCCCUAAAUCUUACUUAAGUGGAAAACGAUGUGAAGUUACUUAAACAACCAGGAGGUUGGCUUAGAAGCAGCCAUCCUUUAAAGAAAGCGUAAUAGCUCACUGGUCUAGUGAUUUUGCGCGGAAAAUAUAACGGGGCUAAAGUAAGUACCGAAGCUGUAGACUUGCGCACAACUUAGAUUAUUUAAGUUUAGAAUAUGAGAAACUAAGUUAUGUUUAGUUAUAUUUUUACUGAUUUUUAUAGAGUAAAGAUAGAAAUAAAACUUAGUAAAAUCAGUAAAAAUAUUCUUAGGCUAAAGUUAAGUAGUUUAAGUUGUGUGCAAGUGGUAGGAGAGCGUUCUAUUUGCGUCGAAGGUAUACCGGUAAGGAGUGCUGGAGCGAAUAGAAGUGAGCAUGCAGGCAUGAGUAGCGAUAAUUAAUGUGAGAAUCAUUAACGCCGUAAACCCAAGGUUUCCUACGCGAUGCUCGUCAUCGUAGGGUUAGUCGGGUCCUAAGUCGAGUCCGAAAGGGGUAGACGAUGGCAAAUUGGUUAAUAUUCCAAUACCAACAUUAGUGUGCGAUGGAAGGACGCUUAGGGCUAAGGGGGCUAGCGGAUGGAAGUGCUAGUCUAAGGUCGUAGGAGGUUAUACAGGCAAAUCCGUAUAACAAUACUCCGAGAACUGAAAGGCUUUUUGAAGUCUUCGGAUGGAUAGAAGAACCCCUGAUGCCGUCGAGCCAAGAAAAGUUUCUAAGUUUAGCUAAUGUUGCCCGUACCGUAAACCGACACAGGUGGGUGGGAUGAGUAUUCUAAGGCGCGUGGAAGAACUCUCUUUAAGGAACUCUGCAAAAUAGCAC
rnacentral:rRNA from 1 species